UAAACGCUGGCGGCGUGCUUAACACAUGCAAGUCGAACGGAGUGGUUCUCCCGAGGAUUGAUGGUGCUUGCACUGAUUGACUCAUUGAAUCACUUAGUGGCGGACGGGUGAGUAACGCGUGGGAAACCUGCCCUAUACUGGGGGAUAGCAGUUGGAAACGACUGAUAAUACCGCAUAAGCGCACAGGAUCGCAUGGUCCAGUGUGAAAAACUCCGGUGGUAUAGGAUGGUCCCGCGUCUGAUUAGCUAGUUGGUGAGGUAACGGCCCACCAAGGCGACGAUCAGUAGCCGGCCUGAGAGGGUGUACGGCCACAUUGGGACUGAGACACGGCCCAAACUCCUACGGGAGGCAGCAGUGGGGAAUAUUGGACAAUGGGGGAAACCCUGAUCCAAGCGACGCCGCGUGAACGAUGAAGUAUUUCGGUAUGUAAAGUUCUAUCAGCAGGGAAGAUAAUGACGGUACCUGACUAAGAAGCACCGGCUAAAUACGUGCCAGCCGCUGC
rnacentral:rRNA from 1 species